GGAAUAUUGGACAAUGGGGGAAACCCUGAUCCAGCAAUGCCGCGUGAGUGAUGAAGGCCUUAGGGUUGUAAAGCUCUUUCGGCGGGGAAGAUGAUGACGGUACCCGCAGAAGAAGCCCCGGCUAACUUCGUGCCAGCAGCCGCGGUAAUACGGGGGGGGCAAGCGUUGUGCGGAAUUACUGGGCGUAAAGGGCGCGUAGGCGGCCUGCUAAGUCACACGUGAAAUCCCUCGGCUCAACCGGGGAACUGCGUGUGAUACUGGCGGGCUCGAAUUCGGGAGGGGGAUGUGGAAUUCCAGGUGUAGCGGUGAAAUGCGUAGAUAUCUGGAGGAACACCGGUGGCGAAGGCGGCAUCCUGGACCGAGAUUGACGCUGAGGCGCGAAAGCUAGGGUAGCAAA
rnacentral:rRNA from 1 species